CUGGACGGAACUUGGAAGAUAAGUUUUCAUUUACACUGAAAUAGUUUCUGUGCAAUUCAGAAUGUCCAGA
rnacentral:tRNA from 1 species